AUGAACGCUGGCGGCGUGCUUAACACCUGCCAGUCGAACGGGAAACCUUUUAUUGAAGCUUCGGCAGAUUUAGCUGGUUUCUAGUGGCGGACGGGUGAGUAACGCGUGGGUAACCUGCCUUAUACAGGGGGAUAACAACCAGAAAUGGUUGCUAAUACCGCAUAAGCGCACAGGACCGCAUGGUCCGGUGUGAAAAACUCCGGUGGUAUAAGAUGGACCCGCGUUGGAUUAGCUAGUUGGCAGGGUAACGGCCUACCAAGGCGACGAUCCAUAGCCGGCCUGAGAGGGUGAACGGCCACAUUGGGACUGAGACACGGCCCAGACUCCUACGGGAGGCAGCAGUGGGGAAUAUUGCACAAUGGGGGAAACCCUGAUGCAGCGACGCCGCGUGAAGGAAGAAGUAUCUCGGUAUGUAAACUUCUAUCAGCAGGGAAGAUAGUGACGGUACCUGACUAAGAAGCCCCGGCUAACUACGUG
rnacentral:rRNA from 1 species